rnacentral:rRNA from 1 species
UACGGGGGGGGGCAAGCGUUGUUCGGAAUUACUGGGCGUAAAGGGCUCGUAGGCGGCCAACUAAGUCAGACGUGAAAUCCCUCGGCUUAACCGGGGAACUGCGUCUGAUACUGGAUGGCUUGAGAUUGGGAGAGGGAUGCGGAAUUCCGGGUGUAGCGGUGAAAUGCGUAGAUAUCCGGAGGAACACCGGUGGCGAAGGCGGCUUCCUGGACCGACACUGACGCUGAGGCGCGAAAGCUAGGGGAGCAAACGGG